GUUAGCGGCGGACGGGUGAGUAACACGUGGGUAACCUACCUAUAAGACUGGGAUAACUUCGGGAAACCGGAGCUAAUACCGGAUAAUAUUUCGAACCGCAUGGUUCGAUAGUGAAAGAUGGUUUUGCUAUCACUUAUAGAUGGACCCGCGCCGUAUUAGCUAGUUGGUAAGGUAACGGCUUACCAAGGCGACGAUACGUAGCCGACCUGAGAGGGUGAUCGGCCACACUGGAACUGAGACACGGUCCAGACUCCUACGGGAGGCAGCAGUAGGGAAUCUUCCGCAAUGGGCGAAAGCCUGACGGAGCAACGCCGCGUGAGUGAUGAAGAGUCUUCGGAUCGUAAAACUCUGUUAUUAGGGAAGAACAUACGUGUAAGUAACUAUGCACGUCUUGACGGUACCUAAUCAGAAAGCCACGGCUAACUACGUGCCAGCAGCCGCGGUAAUACGUAGGUGGCAAGCGUUAUCCGGAAUUAUUGGGCGUAAAGCGCGCGUAGGCGGUUUUUUAAGUCUGAUGUGAAAGCCCACGGCUCAACCGUGGAGGGUCAUUGGAAACUGGAAAACUUGAGUGCAGAAGAGGAAAGUGGAAUUCCAUGUGUAGCGGUGAAAUGCGCAGAGAUAUGGAGGAACACCAGUGGCGAAGGCGACUUUCUGGUCUGUAACUGACGCUGAUGUGCGAAAGCGUGGGGAUCAAACAGGAUUAGAUACCCUGGUAGUCCACGCCGUAAACGAUGAGUGCUAAGUGUUAGGGGGUUUCCGCCCCUUAGUGCUGCAGCUAACGCAUUAAGCACUCCGCCUGGGGAGUACGACCGCAAGGUUGAAACUCAAAGGAAUUGACGGGGACCCGCACAAGCGGUGGAGCAUGUGGUUUAAUUCGAAGCAACGCGAAGAACCUUACCAAAUCUUGACAUCCUUUGACAACUCUAGAGAUAGAGCCUUCCCCUUCGGGGGACAAAGUGACAGGUGGUGCAUGGUUGUCGUCAGCUCGUGUCGUGAGAUGUUGGGUUAAGUCCCGCAACGAGCGCAACCCUUAAGCUUAGUUGCCAUCAUUAAGUUGGGCACUCUAAGUUGACUGCCGGUGACAAACCGGAGGAAGGUGGGGAUGACGUCAAAUCAUCAUGCCCCUUAUGAUUUGGGCUACACACGUGCUACAAUGGACAAUACAAAGGGCAGCGAAACCGCGAGGUCAAGCAAAUCCCAUAAAGUUGUUCUCAGUUCGGAUUGUAGUCUGCAACUCGACUACAUGAAGCUGGAAUCGCUAGUAAUCGUAGAUCAGCAUGCUACGGUGAAUACGUUCCCGGGUCUUGUACACACCGCCCGUCACACCACGAGAGUUUGUAACACCCGAAGCCGGUGGAGUAACCAUUUGGAGCUAGCCGUCGAAGGUGGGACAAAUGAUUGGGGUGAAGUCGUAACAAGGUAGCCGUAUCGGAAGGUG
rnacentral:rRNA from 1 species